GAUGAACGCUGGCGGCGUGCCUAAUACAUGCAAGUCGAGCGAACAGACGAGGAGCUUGCUCCUCUGACGUUAGCGGCGGACGGGUGAGUAACACGUGGAUAACCUACCUAUAAGACUGGGAUAACUUCGGGAAACCGGAGCUAAUACCGGAUAAUAUAUUGAACCGCAUGGUUCAAUAGUGAAAGACGGUUUUGCUGUCACUUAUAGAUGGAUCCGCGCCGCAUUAGCUAGUUGGUAAGGUAACGGCUUACCAAGGCGACGAUGCGUAGCCGACCUGAGAGGGUGAUCGGCCACACGGGAACUGAGACAGGGUCCAGACUCCUACGGGAGGCAGCAGUAGGGAAUCUUCCGCAAUGGGCGAAAGCCUGACGGAGCAACGCCGCGUGAGUGAUGAAGGUCUUCGGAUCGUAAAACUCUGUUAUCAGGGAAGAACAAAUGUGUAAGUAACUAUGCACGUCUUGACGGUACCUAAUCAGAAAGCCACGGCUAACUACGUG
rnacentral:rRNA from 1 species